rnacentral:tRNA from 1 species
UUGGGGUGUAGCCAAGCGGUAAGGCAGCGGUUUUUGGUACCGCCAUGCGAAGGUUCGAAUCCUUCCACCCCAGCCAA